rnacentral:ncRNA from 1 species
AAAGUUUUUUCUAAAAAAAACUCAACUUUUUUUGGGAGGAAACAUUAAUACAUGUUGUUUUUAAAAAGGGCCUAUAAGGCCGUUAAAUAGAAGCGGAAUUCAAGUCAUUUUUUGAUAUUUACAUACUUUUGGUUCAAUCUUUAUUUUGUAGUGAUUAAAUUUAAAAAUUAAGGAGACUUAGAUUUAGAUUAAAAAUUUAGAUUGAAUUAAUUUUGUGCCAGCAAUUGCGGUUAAACAAAAUAAUCAAGAAUUGAAUUUUGGUUUUAAUUAAUAGAUUUUUAUUUAGAUUUAUAAAUUAUUAGGUGAAAUUUUAAUUUAUAAGAUAGAGUAAGUUUUAUGAGGUUAAGAAAUUUUUUUAUUAAACUAGGAUUAGAUACCCUAUUAUUGAAAACGUGUAAUUUUGCCAAAUUAUUAAUAGAUAAGUUCUUUAAAAUUAAUUUAUUUGGCGGUAUUUUAUUCUUAUUAGAGGAACCUGUUCUGUAAUUGAUAAUCCACGUUUUAUUUUACUUAAAUUAGAAAUUUAUAUAUCGUUGUUUAAAAAAUUUUUUAAAAAAUAAAUUUUUUUAAUUUUAAAUUAAAAAUUAAUUCAAAUCAAGGUGUAGUUUAUAUUUAAGUUGAAAUGGGUUACAAUUAAAAAAAUAAUUGGAAUAAUUAAUUAAUAUAAUUUUUAAAUUGGAUUUAAUAGUAAUUUUAAAAAUAUUUUUAAAAUGAAUAAGCUCUGAAAUAUGUACAUAUUGCCCGUCGCUUUCAUUUUAAAAUGGAAUAAGUCGUAACAUAGUGGAUUUACUGGAAAGUGAAUCUUGAUUCAA